rnacentral:rRNA from 1 species
GGAGUCUGGACCGUGUCUCAGUUCCAGUGUGGGGGACCUUCCUCUCAGAACCCCUACUGAUCGAAGGCCAGGUGGGCCGUCACCCCGCCUGCUGCCUAAUCAGACGCAUCCCCAUCCCUUAGCGAUAAAUCUUUGGUUCUCGUUAGAUGCCUGCGGAAAACAACAUAGGGUGUUAAUCCGAUUUUCACCGGGCUAUGCCCUACUAAGGGGAAGGUUGGAUACGCGUUACUCACCCGUGCGCCGGUCGCCAUCGGAAGUUGCAAGCAACCUCCAUGCUGCCCCUCGACUUGCAUGUGUUAAGCCUGUAGCUAGCGUUCAUCCUGAGCCAAGAUCAAACUCU